rnacentral:rRNA from 1 species
ACGGGAGGCAGCAGUGGGGAAUUUUGGACAAUGGGGGAAACCCUGAUCCAGCGACGCCGCGUGGAGGACGAAGGUCUUCGGAUUGUAAACUCCUUUUGGAUGGGAAGAAUAAAUUGACGGUACCAUCAGAAAAAGCCACGGCUAACUUCGUGCCAGCAGCCGCGGUAAUACGAAGGUGGCGAGCGUUACUCGGAAUUACUAGGCGUAAAGCGUAUGUAGGUGGUUGAAUAAGUCUAUGGUGAAAUUUCCAGGCUCAACCUGGAAGGGUACAUAGAUACUGUUCGGCUUGAGUGUGUGAUGGGGAGACGGAAUUCCUGGUGUAGCGGUGAAAUGCGUAGAUAUCAGGAGGAACACCGAUGGCGAAAGCAGUCUCCUGGCACAAUACUGACACUGAGGUACGAAAGCUAGGGUAGCAAACAGGAUUAGAUACCCUGGUA